rnacentral:rRNA from 1 species
AACGAACGCUGGCGGCAUGCCUAACACAUGCAAGUCGAACGAGACCUUCGGGUCUAGUGUCGCACGGGUGCGUAACGCGUGGGAACCUGCCCUUAUGUUCGGACUACCUCCCCGAAAGGGGUGCUAAUACCGGAUAAUGUCUUCUACCCAAAGAUUUAUCGCCUUUGGAUGGGCCCGCGUUGGAUUAGCUAGUUGUUAGGGUAAAAGCCUACCAAGGCGACGAUCCAUAGCUGGUCUGAGAGGAUGAUCAGCCACACUGGGACUGAGACACGGCCCAGACUCCUACGGGAGGCAGCAGUGGGGAAUAUUGGAAAAGGGGCGAAAGCCUGAUCCAGCAAUGCCGCGUGAGUGAUGAAGGUCUUAGGGUUGUAAAGCUCUUUUACCCGGGAUGAUAAUGACAGUACCGGGAGAAUAAGAUCCGGCUAACUCCGUG